rnacentral:tRNA from 1 species
GAGGUUGUGGCUCCAUGGUAGAGCACUUGCCUAGCAAGUAAAAGGCCCUGGCUUCAAUUCUCAGCACCACA